rnacentral:rRNA from 1 species
AGAGUUUGAUCCUGGCUCAGAACGAACGUUGGCGGCAUGCUUAACACAUGCAAGUCGAACGGCAGCAGCGGUGCUUGCACCGGCUGGCGAGUGGCGCACGGGUGAGUAACGCGUGGAUGACCUACCUAGAAGUGGGGGACAACAGCUGGAAACGGCUGCUAAUACCGCAUAAUCCCUACGGGGGAAAGAUUUAUCGCUUUUAGAGGGGUCCGCGUUGGAUUAGGUAGUUGGUGGGGUAAAGGCCUACCAAGCCGACGAUCCAUAGCUGGUCUGAGAGGAUGAUCAGCCACACUGGAACUGAGACACGGUCCAGACUCCUACGGGAGGCAGCAGUGGGGAAUAUUGCGCAAUGGGGGAAACCCUGACGCAGCAAUGCCGCGUGAGUGAUGAAGGCCUUAGGGUUGUAAAGCUCUUUCAGUAGUGAAGAUAGUGACGGUAACUACAGAAGAAGCUCCGGCUAACUCCGUGCCAGCAGCCGCGGUAAUACGGAGGGGGCAAACGUUGUUCGGAAUCACUGGGCGUAAAGGGCGCGUAGGCGGCCAAGCAAGUCAGGAGUGAAAUCUCGGGGCUCAACCUCGAAACUGCUCUUGAAACUGUUUGGCUAGAAUCCGGUAGAGGAUGGUGGAAUUCCCCGUGUAGAGGUGAAAUUCGUAGAUAUGGGGAGGAACACCGGAGGCGAAGGCGGCCAUCUGGGCCGGUAUUGACGCUGAGACGCGAAAGCGUGGGGAGCAAACAGGAUUAGAUACCCUGGUAGUCCACGCCGUAAACGAUGUCUACUUGGAGGUUGUGGCCUUGAGCCGUGGCUUUCGGAGCUAACGCGUUAAGUAGACCGCCUGGGGAGUACGGUCGCAAGAUUAAAACUCAAAUGAAUUGACGGGGGCCCGCACAAGCGGUGGAGCAUGUGGUUUAAUUCGAUGCAACGCGAAGAACCUUACCUACUCUUGACAUCCAGAGAACUUUCCAGAGAUGGAUUGGUGCCUUCGGGAACUCUGAGACAGGUGCUGCAUGGCUGUCGUCAGCUCGUGUUGUGAAAUGUUGGGUUAAGUCCCGCAACGAGCGCAACCCUUAUCCUUGUUUGCCAGCACUUCGGGUGGGAACUCCAGGGAGACUGCCGGUGAUAAACCGGAGGAAGGUGGGGACGACGUCAAGUCAUCAUGGCCCUUACGAGUAGGGCUACACACGUGCUACAAUGGCGCAUACAGAGGGCGGCCAACUUGCGAAAGUGAGCGAAUCCCAAAAAGUGCGUCGUAGUCCGGAUUGGAGUCUGCAACUCGACUCCAUGAAGUCGGAAUCGCUAGUAAUCGUAGAUCAGAAUGCUACGGUGAAUACGUUCCCGGGCCUUGUACACACCGCCCGUCACACCAUGGGAGUGGGCUGCAAAAGAAGUGGGUAGUUUAACCUUCGGGGGGACGCUCACCACUUUGUGGUUCAUGACUGGGGUGAAGUCGUAACAAGGUAACC